UACGUAGGGCGCAAGCGUUGUCCGGAAUUAUUGGGCGUAAAGAGCUCGUAGGUGGUUUGUCGCGUCCGCUGUGAAAACCCGAGGCUCAACCUCGGGCCUGCAGUGGGUACGGGCAGGCUAGAGUCCGGUAGGGGAGCGUGGAAUUCCUGGUGUAGCGGUGAAAUGCGCAGAUAUCAGGAGGAACACCAGCGGCGAAGGCGGCGCUCUGGGCCGGAACUGACGCUGAGGAGCGAAAGCGUGGGUAGCAAACAGG
rnacentral:rRNA from 1 species